rnacentral:misc_RNA from 1 species
CAGGAAUGUCAAUCCACUGCAAUUGUAGUUCUAUUUCACCACGCUCAACAUUUCGCAAUCUAAUAAACACAUUUUGUACAACCUGAUCAUUUUCCCACACAAUGGAGCUCUCUUCAGAGAAACAAUUUUGCCUGCUUGGCUUUAUUUUUGUGAUUAUGGUUCCACUAGGGAUGUUCUUGUACCGCUUUCUCGCCGCAUCUAUAAAUGGCUGUAUGUCAACUUCUGCAUCACCCAUCUUAUCGUCAAGAGAAAAUAUAUCCUUGUCAUAAACAUGCAGUUUGAUUG